GUGCUCACUUCAGCAGCACAUAAACUACAACUGGAACAAAACAGAGAUUAGCAUGGCCCCUGAAAAAGGAUGACACACAAAUUCUUGAAGCAUUCCUUAUUUUU
ensembl:snRNA U6 U6 spliceosomal RNA